rnacentral:rRNA from 1 species
GACGAACGCUGGCGGCGCGCCUAACACAUGCAAGUCGAACGAGCGAGAGAGAGCUUGCUUUCUUGAGCGAGUGGCGAACGGGUGAGUAACGCGUGAGGAACCUGCCUCAAAGAGGGGGACAACAGUUGGAAACGACUGCUAAUACCGAAUAGGCCCACGGUGCCGCUGGGCACGGGGGGAAAAGGAGCAAGCGGCUUUGGAUGGGCCUCGCUCCGGAUUGGCUGGUUGGGGAGGUAACGGCCCACCAAGGCGACGAUCGGUAGCCGGACUGAGAGGUUGAACGGCCACAUUGGGACUGAGACACGGCCCAGACUCCUACGGGAGGCAGCAGUGGGGAAUAUUGCACAAUGGGGGAAACCCUGAUGCAGCGACGCCGCGUGGAGGAAGAAGGUCUUCGGAUUGUAAACUCCUGUUGUUGGGGAAGAUAAUGACGGUACCCAACAAGGAAGUGACGGCUAACUACGUG